CGCGAGGUGGAUCGAAUCGCGAGCCGUCGGUCUGCAAAACCGACCUUAGUGGGUUCGAGUCCCACCGUCACCUCCA
rnacentral:tRNA from 1 species